rnacentral:rRNA from 1 species
CUCAAUGGGAGAAAUCCUGACGCAGCAACGCCGCGUUGAGGAUGAAGGGUCUAUGACUUGUAAACUCCUGUAAAGAAGGAAAAAAUUCCCAUUAGAUGGGAGAUGAUGGUACUUCUGGAGUAAGCCCCGGCUAACUACGUUCCAGCAGCCGCGGUAGUACGUAGGGGGCAAGCGUUGUCCGGAUUUACUGGGUGUAAAGGGUGCUCAGGCGGAUUUGUAAGUCAGAGGUGA